rnacentral:misc_RNA from 1 species
GAUGAAGAACGCAGCGAAAUGCGAUAAGUAAUGUGAAUUGCAGAAUUCAGUGAAUCAUCGAAUCUUUGAACGCACAUUGCGCCCCCUGGUAUUCCGGGGGGCAUGCCUGUUCGAGCGUCAUUUCACCACUCAAGCCUCGCUUGGUAUUGGGCAACGCGGUCCGCCGCGUGCCUCAAAUCGACCGGCUGGGUCUUCUGUCCCCUAAGCGUUGCGGAAACUUUCGCUAAAGGGUGUUCGGGAGGCUACGCCGUAAAACAACCCCAUUUCUAAGGUUGACCUCGGAUCAGGUAGGGAUACCCGCUGAACUUAAGCAUAUCAAUAAGCGGAGGA